CAUUUGUAUAGAGUUAUUUUCAGUUUGUUUUAUGUUGUCCAUCUUCCCAAGCUACAAAAUUCAAGAGCUAUAGUUUGUGUAGUAAUCACUGCUGUAAAAACACUGAAGACUGUUCGAUAGGAAGAAGAGAAACCAACUUCAUGUCAAAAUGCAGGUGAUGCAAGCGCCCAUACCAAAGAGCUCCACAAUCAAAUCUGAACUAGCAUUAUCCGAAUAGUCAGGAUCUAGAACUUCAUUUGAAAUUGGAGUGCCCGUCUGGAGAUUGAAUGGAACAGCUGCUGAGGAACAGUUUAUCUCUUUGUGUUGUCAAAGGAAUACUUUCUUCAUUAUGCCUUGCUACAGAUUAAAAUUACUGAAUGAUCUGGCUUGUCUUCAAGAGAAAAAACAAAACAAAACACUGGAUCAUGAUUACCGAAUUCUGGAAUUUUCUGCAAUUAGAUUUAGAUAGUAAUGAAUUACCACUAUUUUAUGGAGGCAAACAGCUGCAAUGAUCUUAAUCCUGAGUGAUACAUUUAAAAGUUCUGACAUGAAGGAAAGCCGUCCUGGGGGGCACUUACAUCAUCUAGAAGAAUGCGGAGAACCUUUAUUUCUUUUGUUUAGCAACAUUUUUAGUUCCAAGAGGUACUGA
rnacentral:lncRNA from 1 species